rnacentral:rRNA from 1 species
CCCCUGUGACAUACCACUUGUUGCCUCGGCGGAUCAGCCCGCUCCCGGUAAAACGGGACGGCCCGCCAGAGGACCCCUAAACUCUGUUUCUAUAUGUAACUUCUGAGUAAAACCAUAAAUAAAUCAAAACUUUCAACAACGGAUCUCUUGGUUCUGGCAUCGAUGAAGAACGCAGCAAAAUGCGAUAAGUAAUGUGAAUUGCAGAAUUCAGUGAAUCAUCGAAUCUUUGAACGCACAUUGCGCCCGCCAGUAUUCUGGCGGGCAUGCCUGUUCGAGCGUCAUUUCAACCCUCAAGCCCUCGGGUUUGGUGUUGGGGAUCGGCGAGCCCUUGCGGCAAGCCGGCCCCGAAAUCUAGUGGCGGUCUCGCUGCAGCCUCCAUUGCGUAGUAGUAAAACCCUCGCAACUGGAACGCGGCGCGGCCAAGCCGUUAAACCCCCAACUUCUGAAUGUUGACCUCGGAUCAGGUAGGAAUACCCGCUGAACUUAAGCAUAUCAAUAG